UACGAACUGUGCGAACGUUAUUCGGAAUCACUGGGCUUACAGGGUGCGUAGGCGGCUUGUCAAGUAGGGUGUGAAAGCCCCCGGCUCAACCGGGGAAUUGCGCCCUAAACUGGCGAGCUGGAGUGAGAUAGGGGUGUGUGGAACUUCCGGUGGAGCGGUGAAAUGUGUUGAUAUCGGAAGGAACACCGGUGGCGAAGGCGGGUCUCUGGGCCGAUACUGACGCUGAGGAGCGAAAGCGUGGGGAGCGAACAGG
rnacentral:rRNA from 1 species